AAAUUGAAGAGUUUGAUCAUGGCUCAGAUUGAACGCUGGCGGCAGGCCUAACACAUGCAAGUCGAGCGGUAGCACAGAGAGCUUGCUCUCGGGUGACGAGCGGCGGACGGGUGAGUAAUGUCUGGGAAACUGCCUGAUGGAGGGGGAUAACUACUGGAAACGGUAGCUAAUACCGCAUAAUGUCGCAAGACCAAAGUGGGGGACCUUCGGGCCUCAUGCCAUCAGAUGUGCCCAGAUGGGAUUAGCUAGUAGGUGGGGUAACGGCUCACCUAGGCGACGAUCCCUAGCUGGUCUGAGAGGAUGACCAGCCACACUGGAACUGAGACACGGUCCAGACUCCUACGGGAGGCAGCAGUGGGGAAUAUUGCACAAUGGGCGCAAGCCUGAUGCAGCCAUGCCGCGUGUGUGAAGAAGGCCUUCGGGUUGUAAAGCACUUUCAGCGGGGAGGAAGGCGAUAAGGUUAAUAACCUUGUCGAUUGACGUUACCCGCAGAAGAAGCACCGGCUAACUCCGUGCCAGCAGCCGCGGUAAUACGGAGGGUGCAAGCGUUAAUCGGAAUUACUGGGCGUAAAGCGCACGCAGGCGGUCUGUCAAGUCGGAUGUGAAAUCCCCGGGCUCAACCUGGGAACUGCAUUCGAAACUGGCAGGCUAGAGUCUUGUAGAGGGGGGUAGAAUUCCAGGUGUAGCGGUGAAAUGCGUAGAGAUCUGGAGGAAUACCGGUGGCGAAGGCGGCCCCCUGGACAAAGACUGACGCUCAGGUGCGAAAGCGUGGGGAGCAAACAGGAUUAGAUACCCUGGUAGUCCACGCCGUAAACGAUGUCGAUUUGGAGGUUGUGCCCUUGAGGCGUGGCUUCCGGAGCUAACGCGUUAAAUCGACCGCCUGGGGAGUACGGCCGCAAGGUUAAAACUCAAAUGAAUUGACGGGGGCCCGCACAAGCGGUGGAGCAUGUGGUUUAAUUCGAUGCAACGCGAAGAACCUUACCUGGUCUUGACAUCCACAGAACUUAGCAGAGAUGCUUUGGUGCCUUCGGGAACUGUGAGACAGGUGCUGCAUGGCUGUCGUCAGCUCGUGUUGUGAAAUGUUGGGUUAAGUCCCGCAACGAGCGCAACCCUUAUCCUU
rnacentral:rRNA from 1 species